rnacentral:rRNA from 1 species
CUACGGGAGGCAGCAGUGAGGAAUAUUGGUCAAUGGUCGGGAGACUGAACCAGCCAAGCCGCGUGAGGGAUGAAGGUACAGAGUAUCGUAAACCUCUUUUGUCAGGGAACAAAGGCGGGGACGCGUCCCUGGAUGAGUGUACCUGAAGAAAAAGCAUCGGCUAACUCCGUGCCAGCAGCCGCGGUAAUACGGAGGAUGCGAGCGUUAUCCGGAUUUAUUGGGUUUAAAGGGUGCGCAGGCGGUCUGUUAAGUCAGCGGUCAAAGCCCGGGGCUCAACCCCGGCCCGCCGGUGAAACUGGCAGGCU